UGCACGCUAGUGGCAGGCUUAAUACAUGCAAGCCGUGGGGCAGCAUGAGUAGCAAUACUUGAUGGCGACCGGCAAACGGGUGAGGAACACGUACACAACCUUCCUUCAAGCGGGGAAUAGCCCAGAGAAAUUUGGAUUAAUACCCCAUAAUAUAUUUGAUAAGGCAUCUUAUUAAUAUUAAAGCUUCGGCACUUGAUGAUGGGUGUGCGGCUGAUUAGAUAGUUGGCGGGGUAACGGCCCACCAAGUCUACGAUCAGUAGCUGAUGUGAGAGCAUGAUCAGCCACACGGGCACUGAGACACGGGCCCGACUCCUACGGGAGGCAGCAGUAAGGAAUAUUGGACAAUGGACGAAAGUCUGAUCCAGCCAUGCCGCGUGAAGGAUUAAGGUCCUCUGGAUUGUAAACUUCUUUUAUAUGGGACGAAAAAAGGGCAUUCUUGUUCACUUGACGGUACCAUAUGAAUAAGCACCGGCUAACUCCGUG
rnacentral:rRNA from 1 species